AGUGAACGCUGGCGGUAGGCCUAACACAUGCAAGUCGAACGGCAGCACAGUAAGAGCUUGCUCUUACGGGUGGCGAGUGGCGGACGGGUGAGGAAUACAUCGGAAUCUACUUUUUCGUGGGGGAUAACGUAGGGACACUUACGCUAAUACCGCAUACGACCUACGGGUGAAAGCAGGGGAUCUUCGGACCUUGCGCGAUUGAAUGAGCCGAUGUCGGAUUAGCUAGUUGGCGGGGUAAAGGCCCACCAAGGCGACGAUCCGUAGCUGGUCUGAGAGGAUGAUCAGCCACACUGGAACUGAGACACGGUCCAGACUCCUACGGGAGGCAGCAGUGGGGAAUAUUGGACAAUGGGCGCAAGCCUGAUCCAGCCAUACCGCGUGGGUGAAGAAGGCCUUCGGGUUGUAAAGCCCUGUUGUUGGGGAAGAAAAGCAGCAGGUUAAUACCCCGCUGUUCUGACGGUACCCAAAGAAUAAGCACCGGCUAACUUCGUG
rnacentral:rRNA from 1 species